UCCUUCAUUAAUGAAAUCUUCAUUUGGAUAGCUCAGAAUAUCUAAAUCACUUUGGCAGCUACAAUAUGGAACAAGGUAUAAUUUAAUCAUGUUUAUUUCCUGAGUCUUCUUGGGAAAAGUCUGCAGGUUUCCUUUGCUGAGGAAUGCUCUCAGUAAUUUUUUGUUGUUGUUGAUUUCUUUGUAGUACAUAAAGUUACUAGAAACAUCUCCAGCUUUGCCUUUCAGAGUUUCACAAAAGAUUCAGGCACAGUGACUGUGAAAAAAGCUGAUGUAUAAAGAGUCUGUGACUGCUCUUGCUCCUUGUCCCACUGUAUGAGAAACCUCAUCCCUGCUCCUGAUCCAGGACUGGUUUCAAGUCUGCUGAUAAUGGAAAUGUGAAUUGUUCUGAAUUUUGUGUUGCUUGGGACCAGUGUUUGUGUGACAAUGCUGUCACUACAGACCAGGAAAAACAGGGAUGGAACAUAAGAAGCUGUGUAAAAUAGAAGGAGCUUUUGGAGUGCCAAACAGGCAUGAAAGGAAAGUCUAGUCCAUGAUUUGAAGACUGCUGCAGGUGUUUAACCAUCUGUAUCUCUCCAAGAAGGAAAGGUUGCUAAGUGACCAGUGCUACUUCUCCAAUACUGAAUCAACCAAACUGUUUAUUCCUGCCUCUUUCUGUUGCUGACACCAGUUGGGUC
rnacentral:lncRNA from 1 species